UUUCGUAAAUGACGAAAAAAAUCUUUUCCUACACACCGAAAUUACUGUGUGGAUUUCAACUCCGCCUAUUAUCUGAUGCCGUA
rfam:Glycine soja cultivar W05 scaffold829_73, whole genome shotgun sequence.